AUGAUCACGCGAUCGAAUUAGGGACUUGCUUCUAAUCGGCUUAGGGUUAGGGUUAGGGUUAGGGUUAGGGUUAGAUAAUGGACGUGAGACACAUCAAUCGUCCAUUAUUCCCAACUCCAAUGACCAAUCCUAGUUUUUCCCCCCCUCGGGUAUUUAUCUGGAACCAAUCUAUGGCCAUACUCAUCCAGAUUUCGAGUAAAAAAGGGAGGAACUGCUUAUUUCUAAGCAUUGAAUCAAUGAUUUACCACAUUUGCAUUGAAGCUCAGCAAUAGGUCAAGUUGGCAAGUGAUAACAAAGGUUGUAGAAAAGGACAACCUUUGCUAUCACUCCAAGUAGGUUGAUUUUUUUUUCUCUUCUAUGGCCUUUACCUUGGUACUGAUUAGAAUUGAAGAAUCAGUUUCAAGGUUACCUGUUGCUGGCUUUGAAGGAGUAUCCCAAGCUUACUGCUUGGGUUGAUGUCUCUCCUCCAUCUACCUGCAUAUAGGGUAAACCAGGCUACCGAGGAUGAAGACACUACACUACUAAUGAACCUGAGACUAAACCCUAUUUCAUAGUUCGUGAUUGGAAAAUCCAUAUCUAUGAUUUGUACGAGUAGGAAAAUAUGAAAGCUUUUGAAAAGGCCGUCAAUUGUAUUUUCUAUUCUGUUUUGGGGUAUCAAUGGCUUCAAAUAGGUAAUUCUCAUAGAUAGUGAGAUGUCAGAGUUGGUAUAAGUCUAAAUUUUCUAUGUGACCAUAAACGGGAAAUUUGUAUAUAUACAACUUUAUUCAAGUUAGAAAAUAUGAAUGCUUUUGAAGGGGUUGUGAUUUAUAUUUUGUGUUUGUGCUUCCAUACCAAUGGCUUCAAACUACCAAAUUUAGUUGUUUUCGGCAUUUAUUUAUUCUUCUUGUUUUGGCUAUUUGAAAAACUCCCUUUUUCUAAUUGGGCUUAGUGUACAAUCUUGUAAAGUUUUAUAGUAGUUGUAAAUGAUGAAUUACAGCCGAUUCUAUACAAGUUCUAUAGUUGUAAAAUGGGAUCUGCUGCUUGUAUAGCAGAGCAUGACAUUCUAAUGAUUUCCAAUUGCUUGGCAUAGUGGGGUGUAUGGAUUAUAUGUGCUACUUAUCCUAAUUUUUAAAAUAUAAAAGGCACUAUCAAAAUAGACCAAAUUUGGGAUGGGAGAGAUAAAUGAAAAUUGAAAGUUCUUAGCCCACCAGUACACUAAAAUCCCUGCCAAUAAUUCUCUCCUGUCUCUGUUGAAAUCACACCCACAGUGGAGGAGAGUUACUCAAAAUUAGGAAUGGCAAAGGCUAAAAACUCACAUAAUAUUGCACUAGCAUGGAAGAGAGGUCCCCAGAAUCAGGGACAACAACAGGUGAAGAACGCACAUAGGAAAAAUGUUGUCUCAUAGGCGAACUUUGGCGACGGAUGAUUUAUUUUAAUAGCCAAAAGGAACAAAAGCAGCAAUGUUGUUCUGGAAGUGGGUCAGAGCUAUGAACUACUAGUAGUUGUGCAUGGAAGUGUGUUUUUGCUGUGUGUUAUGGAAGUAGUAGGGAAUAAUUCUGUGAUUUUGAUUUAUUUUAGGUUGUUUUAUGCUAUGGAUUGACAUUGGUGUGGAGUUGUCUAUGUCUUGAAAUGCUAUUUUUUAUAUUCUAACACAGCUGCUCAGGUGGCAGUUUUUUUUUUUUUUGUUAACGCACUAUUACGAGCGCCCUCACUGUUCGGCCCCGUGAUAUCAGUAGGAGAUGUAAAUCAGAGGACUCAGUGGUCAGUUCAAUCCCUAGUGCUUCUGCAAACGUGAGGGCGCGAGUGGAGAGAGAUUUUAGGGUUUCAGAUUGAUUGGAAGUCACGAACAAUCGACCGCUUGCUUCUUAGAAGGUCAAAGGAAUUCGUCGGGUGUCUCAAUUUCUAGGUUAACCCAAGUGGAAGAGCGGCCAUGGAUCCCUGAGGCCAGCCGGUUUCGGAGUACCGACGGCAAUAAUUGGGGUCUAGUGGUUGGCCAGAACUACUUCGAGCGCCACAUGCACAGUGGCCGGAACAGUUCAAGAAAGCCUGUGGAAAUCCGUCAAUAUGGGAUGCCAUAGACUCCCCUGUUCUCAUGGUUCCCGUUCUACCUUGAAGGAAAUACAAGCUAUCCCAUACUCUCCGGGAAAUUGAGCAGGGGGAUUUUGCUAUAAACGCGGCUGGAGGAAAGCUCAUUCCAUAUGGCAUUGAUGGUUAUGGUACAACCAGACAUCCAUAACUCUUUAGUCAAAACAAACAAGAAUUCAUUUUGAUCAAAUCAGCAAGUUUCGUUUGUCUACUAUCAGCUGCUUUGAUACUUGAAGGAGAGCUAGGCGUGAAGCUGCUUGAAGAACUCGCUAGAAUCCUCUCCAACUGGUAUAGGAAGCAAAUCCAAGCCAUGAACAAAGUUUUUAAGCACUGCUGGCUGUCCAUUUCGGAAACUGCCACCUCCUUCACUAUGUUCCUGGUGGAUAUAAACCUAAUUCUUAUCGACAGUGGGUGAGAUCUAAGAAUUGGUGUCUGUCUUAACUUUUGAUUGGCCAUGAAUGGGAAAUUUGUAUCUAUUCUCUAUGCGGGUAGGGAAAUAGCUUCUUGCUAUGCAUCAGAGCUUCGUUCUGCAGCUUCUGCCUUAUUGUUUACUGUGGAAUUAAAAUAUGGUUGCUUUGUCUUCCUAGAAGUAGUUAAACUGCUGUCAAGCCCAGUUGUUUUGUGGAUAUUUUAAUCUCUCUUUUACCUUGUUUAGAUUAGCAUUAAGGAAUUCAAAUCCUUUAUUUUGUGUAUAUCUUCGUUAACCAGAGAAGGUGGUAUGGAACCAUUUGCUUUGUCUUCUCCUCAACGAAACCCUAGUGUAGUCCCUUUUUGGCUGA